GAAUCUUGGACAACGGGGGAAACCCUGAUCCAGCCAUGCCGCGUGAGUGAUGAAGGCCUUCGGGUUGUAAAACUCUUUCGACGGGGACGAUAAUGACGGUACCCGUAGAAGAAGCUCCGGCUAACUUCGUGCCAGCAGCCGCGGUAAUACGAAGGGGGCUAGCGUUGUUCGGAAUUACUGGGCGUAAAGCGCGCGCAGGCGGCUAUCCAAGUCAGUGGUGAAAGCCCGGAGCUCAACUCCGGAACUGCCAUUGAAACUGUUUAGCUUGAGGACGAGAGAGGUGAGUGGAAUUCCCAGUGUAGAGGUGAAAUUCGUAGAUAUUGGGAAGAACACCGGUGGCGAAGGCGGCUCACUGGCUCGUAUCUGACGCUCAGGCGCGAUAGCGUGGGGAUCAAACAGG
rnacentral:rRNA from 1 species